CCGAGGCCGCACCGCCCUGAAGGCGCCCGAUCUCGUCCGAUCUGGGAAGCUAAGCAGGAUCGGGCCCGGUCGGGACCUGGAUGGUUAAAAGGAUUAGUGUGUGUCCAUUGGC
rnacentral:rRNA from 1 species